rnacentral:rRNA from 1 species
AGUGAACGCUGGCGGUAGGCCUAACACAUGCAAGUCGAACGGCAGCACAGUAAGCGCUUGCUCUUACGGGUGGCGAGUGGCGGACGGGUGAGGAAUACAUCGGAAUCUACUUUUUCGUGGGGGAUAACGUAGGGACACUUACGCUAAUACCGCAUACGACCUACGGGUGAAAGCAGGGGAUCUUCAGGCCUUUCGCGAUUGAAUGAGCCGAUGUCGGAUUAGCUAGUUGGCGGGGUAAAGGCCCACCAAGGCGACGAUCCGUAGCUGGUCUGAGAGGAUGAUCAGCCACACUGGAACUGAGACACGGUCCAGACUCCUACGGGAGGCAGCAGUGGGGAAUAUUGGACAAUGGGCGCAAGCCUGAUCCAGCCAUACCGCGUGGGUGAAGAAGGCCUUCGGGUUGUAAAGCCCUUUUGUUGGGAAAGAAAGGCAGCAGGUUAAUACCCCGCUGUUCUGACGGUACCCAAAGAAUAAGCACCGGCUAACUUCGUG